GUGAGGAAUAUUGGACAAUGGGCGCAAGCCUGAUCCAGCCAUGCCGCGUGCAGGAAGACGCAUCUAUGGUGUGUAAACUGCUUUUGUACGGGAAGAAACACUCCCUCGUGAGGGAGCUUGACGGUACCGUAAGAAUAAGGAUCGGCUAACUCCGUGCCAGCAGCCGCGGUAAUACGGAGGAUCCAAGCGUUAUCCGGAAUCAUUGGGUUUAAAGGGUCCGUAGGCGGUUUAAUAAGUCAGUGGUGAAAGCCCAUCACUCAACGAUGGAACGGCCAUUGAUACUGUUAGACUUGAAUUACAAGGAAGUAACUAGAAUAUGUAGUGUAGCGGUGAAAUGCUUAGAUAUUACAUGGAAUACCAAUUGCGAAGGCAGGUUACUACUUGUGGAUUGACGCUGAUGGACGAAAGCGUGGGGAGCGAACAGGAUUAGAUACCCUAGUAGUCC
rnacentral:rRNA from 1 species